AUUGAACGCUGGCGGCAGGCUUAACACAUGCAAGUCGAGCGAGCGGCGGACGGGUGAGUAAUGUCUGGGAAACUGCCUGAUGGAGGGGGAUAACUACUGGAAACGGUAGCUAAUACCGCAUACCAUCGGAUGUGCCCAGAUGGUAUUAGCUAGUAGGUGGGGUAAAGGCUCACCUAGGCGACGAUCCCUAGCUGGGCUGAGAGGAGGACCAGCCACACUGGAACUGAGACACGGUCCAGACUCCUACGGGAGGCAGCAGUGGGGAAUAUUGCACAAGGGGCGCAAGCCGGAUGCAGCCAUGCCGCGUGUAUGAAGAAGGCCUUCGGGUUGUAAAGUACUUUCAGCGGGGAGGCGGUACCCGAAGAAGAAGCACCGGCUAACUCCGUGCCAGCAGCCGCGGUAAUAG
rnacentral:rRNA from 1 species